rnacentral:ncRNA from 1 species
CUAAAUCGCCGUUUCUUUUUUUUUUUUCAAGACUUUAUAUUUAAAAUCUAUGCUCCUAUUGAAAGUAAAUCUUUUUUUUAAAGAAGCCUAUAAUUUUUUUAAUUAGUGAAAUCUUCUAAAGAGUUUUUUAAAAAAAUAAUAAAUUUAGUGCCAGCAUUUGCGGUUAUACUAACAUUUUUAAAAACAAUAUCAAGCAAAAUAUUUAACUAAAAUUAAAUCAAUGGUAAUUAGUGAAAUAGUGAACAAAUUAAUUAUUUAAAAUAUUAACAGAAAAUAGGAAAAAGAACUAGGAUUAGAUACCCUACUACUCCUGACUAAAACACCACUUAAAAGAUUAAACAUAAAAUUUGAAGAUUUGGCGGCUUUAUUACUUAGAGGAACUUGUCUAUUAAAUUGAUAAUCCCCAUUAAUAUCGUUUUUGAAUUAAUUUUUGUAUACCAUCAUUUAAAUUAUCUAAAAAAAGCAAAUUAUUACGAAAUCGUUUAAAAAGCUAGAUCAAGGUGCAGAUAUAUUCAAAAUUAGGUUAGUUACAAUAUAUAAUUAAACAAAGUACGUUUAAUCUCGUACACAAGGCGGAUUUAAAUGUAAUUCGUAAUUACGCAAAUGAAUAUUAAGAAUUUAGUGUACAAAUUGCCCGUCACUCUCCCUGAGAUAAGUCGAAACAAAGUAGGGGUACCUGAAGGUGCUCCU